GGUUAAGCGACUAAGCGUACACGGUGGAUGCCCUGGCAGUCAGAGGCGAUGAAGGACGUGCUAAUCUGCGAUAAGCGUCGGUGAGGUGAUAUGAACCGUUAUAACCGGCGAUUUCCGAAUGGGGAAACCCAGUGUGUUUCGACACACUAUCAUUAACUGAAUCCAUAGGUUAAUGAGGCGAACCGGGGGAACUGAAACAUCUAAGUACCCCGAGGAAAAGAAAUCAACCGAGAUUCCCCCAGUAGCGGCGAGCGAACGGGGAGGAGCCCAGAGCCUGAAUCAGUGUGUGUGUUAGUGGAAGCGUCUGGAAAGGCGUGCGAUACAGGGUGACAGCCCCGUACACAAAAAUGCACAUAUUGUGAGCUCGAUGAGUAGGGCGGGACACGUGGUAUCCUGUCUGAAUAUGGGGGGACCAUCCUCCAAGGCUAAAUACUCCUGACUGACCGAUAGUGAACCAGUACCGUGAGGGAAAGGCGAAAAGAACCCCGGCGAGGGGAGUGAAAAAGAACCUGAAACCGUGUACGUACAAGCAGUGGGAGCCUCUUAAUGGGGUGACUGCGUACCUUUUGUAUAAUGGGUCAGCGACUUAUAUUCUGUAGCAAGGUUAACCGAAUAGGGGAGCCGAAGGGAAACCGAGUCUUAACUGGGCGUUAAGUUGCAGGGUAUAGACCCGAAACCCGGUGAUCUAGCCAUGGGCAGGUUGAAGGUUGGGUAACACUAACUGGAGGACCGAACCGACUAAUGUUGAAAAAUUAGCGGAUGACUUGUGGCUGGGGGUGAAAGGCCAAUCAAACCGGGAGAUAGCUGGUUCUCCCCGAAAGCUAUUUAGGUAGCGCCUCGUGAAUUCAUCUCCGGGGGUAGAGCACUGUUUCGGCAAGGGGGUCAUCCCGACUUACCAACCCGAUGCAAACUGCGAAUACCGGAGAAUGUUAUCACGGGAGACACACGGCGGGUGCUAACGUCCGUCGUGAAGAGGGAAACAACCCAGACCGCCAGCUAAGGUCCCAAAGUCAUGGUUAAGUGGGAAACGAUGUGGGAAGGCCCAGACAGCCAGGAUGUUGGCUUAGAAGCAGCCAUCAUUUAAAGAAAGCGUAAUAGCUCACUGGUCGAGUCGGCCUGCGCGGAAGAUGUAACGGGGCUAAACCAUGCACCGAAGCUGCGGCAGCGACACUAUGUGUUGUUGGGUAGGGGAGCGUUCUGUAAGCCUGUGAAGGUGGCCUGUGAGGGUUGCUGGAGGUAUCAGAAGUGCGAAUGCUGACAUAAGUAACGAUAAAGCGGGUGAAAAGCCCGCUCGCCGGAAGACCAAGGGUUCCUGUCCAACGUUAAUCGGGGCAGGGUGAGUCGACCCCUAAGGCGAGGCCGAAAGGCGUAGUCGAUGGGAAACAGGUUAAUAUUCCUGUACUUGGUGUUACUGCGAAGGGGGGACGGAGAAGGCUAUGUUGGCCGGGCGACGGUUGUCCCGGUUUAAGCGUGUAGGCUGGUUUUCCAGGCAAAUCCGGAAAACCAAGGCUGAGGCGUGAUGACGAGGCACUACGGUGCUGAAGCGACAAAUGCCCUGCUUCCAGGAAAAGCCUCUAAGCAUCAGGUAACAUCAAAUCGUACCCCAAACCGACACAGGUGGUCAGGUAGAGAAUACCAAGGCGCUUGAGAGAACUCGGGUGAAGGAACUAGGCAAAAUGGUGCCGUAACUUCGGGAGAAGGCACGCUGAUAUGUAGGUGAAGCGACUUGCUCGUGGAGCUGAAAUCAGUCGAAGAUACCAGCUGGCUGCAACUGUUUAUUAAAAACACAGCACUGUGCAAACACGAAAGUGGACGUAUACGGUGUGACGCCUGCCCGGUGCCGGAAGGUUAAUUGAUGGGGUUAGCGGUAACGCGAAGCUCUUGAUCGAAGCCCCGGUAAACGGCGGCCGUAACUAUAACGGUCCUAAGGUAGCGAAAUUCCUUGUCGGGUAAGUUCCGACCUGCACGAAUGGCGUAAUGAUGGCCAGGCUGUCUCCACCCGAGACUCAGUGAAAUUGAACUCGCUGUGAAGAUGCAGUGUACCCGCGGCAAGACGGAAAGACCCCGUGAACCUUUACUAUAGCUUGACACUGAACAUUGAGCCUUGAUGUGUAGGAUAGGUGGGAGGCUUUGAAGUGUGGACGCCAGUCUGCAUGGAGCCGACCUUGAAAUACCACCCUUUAAUGUUUGAUGUUCUAACGUUGGCCCGUAAUCCGGGUUGCGGACAGUGUCUGGUGGGUAGUUUGACUGGGGCGGUCUCCUCCUAAAGAGUAACGGAGGAGCACGAAGGUUGGCUAAUCCUGGUCGGACAUCAGGAGGUUAGUGCAAUGGCAUAAGCCAGCUUGACUGCGAGCGUGACGGCGCGAGCAGGUGCGAAAGCAGGUCAUAGUGAUCCGGUGGUUCUGAAUGGAAGGGCCAUCGCUCAACGGAUAAAAGGUACUCCGGGGAUAACAGGCUGAUACCGCCCAAGAGUUCAUAUCGACGGCGGUGUUUGGCACCUCGAUGUCGGCUCAUCACAUCCUGGGGCUGAAGUAGGUCCCAAGGGUAUGGCUGUUCGCCAUUUAAAGUGGUACGCGAGCUGGGUUUAGAACGUCGUGAGACAGUUCGGUCCCUAUCUGCCGUGGGCGCUGGAGAACUGAGGGGGGCUGCUCCUAGUACGAGAGGACCGGAGUGGACGCAUCACUGGUGUUCGGGUUGUCAUGCCAAUGGCACUGCCCGGUAGCUAAAUGCGGAAGAGAUAAGUGCUGAAAGCAUCUAAGCACGAAACUUGC
rnacentral:rRNA from 1 species